rnacentral:rRNA from 1 species
GUAGUCUGCAACCCGACUACAUGAAGCUGGAAUCGCUAGUAAUCGCGGAUCAGAAUGCCGCGGUGAAUACGUUCCCGGGUCUUGUACACACCGCCCGUCACACCAUGGGAGUCGGAAAUGCCCGAAGUCUGUGACCCAACCGUAAGGAGGGAGCAGCCGAAGGCAGGUCGGAUGACUGGGGUGAAGUCGUAACAAGGUAAC